rnacentral:tRNA from 1 species
AAUUAAUGAGCUUGUGAAGCAUUUGUUUUGAAAACUUAAGAAAGAAUUUUAUAAUUCUAUUAAUUU